GCCUUAUUGAGAAGAAUAAUAACACGUAACACUAGAGAAAAUAAUGAUAGCAUUAAACUGGAUUAUUAACCAGGCAGAAAUUCAUGGAUAUAAACAAAGCAUCAUAAUAAAAAUAUGGAAAGAAAUUCAGAUGAAAAGCAAGAUAACAAUAAAAGAACAUAAGGAAAACAUUCAAGAUCUUGAUGGGAUCCUUUAUCCAGUUGAAGUCAAUCUGGUAUUUUUAAGAUUUAGCAGAAAAAUCGAAAAGGCUGCAAAAAAAAAUAACCUUCAGAAGAAACAAUAUAUUAUUUAAUGCAUUAAAAAACAGUAAGGAUCAUCAACAACAACUAAAAAAAAAAUCAAAAGUAUAUCAAGUUCCUAUAAAAAACAACAUGGGCAAGGACAAAGUAUAUAUAUUGAGUGUACUGCUAGAUCGAUAUAAAAAAGAAUUAAGAAACAUAAAGCAGAUAUGAAUAAAGAACAGCAGAAUACUGCAUUCACACAAAGGAUUUUAAACUUUGAUGGCCAGGUCAUAUGGAACAACAUAAAGUUAUUAAAGAUUACAGAAGACUCAAUAAGAGCAAAGUUUGCAGAGGUUUUCAAAAUUUUUAAGAAUAAAAAUGCAGAAAAUAAUAAUAUAAAUACUAUAGAGCCAAAUUUAGUAAGCUCAGUAUGGUCCUGUUGUAAUGAGGUAAUACAAAAAAAAAGGAAGAACUGAUUUAAUCACAGAAUUAUAA
rnacentral:lncRNA from 1 species